UAGCACGUGGAAAGCUUUUCCAAGAGGUGAUAUUGAGAGCUGAAUGGGAAUUUCAAGAGCGUUUGGGAAUAUUUGCUCUCAUUUCAGGUUAUUUUAUUCAUAGUUCUGUCUGUGAUGAAGCAUGUGCCUAUAUUUAUAGGGACAUCAUAUUUAAACCCGAACAGGAAUUGUUGCCAGUCUCAGGUGAAAAAAAAGCAAAGCCUCCUUACUGCUGAUUCUACUGUGAAGAUCGGGAGGGUGUUGGAUACUCAGGCAAUGACAGCGCUGGAUUAAAAACAAGCCAGGCAUUUGUGUCUUCUGGGGUUGCUAUAUUGCAUCUAAGCAAGUCUCAUGAGAUGUCUCUGGUCACCAUUUGCUCUGUGUGACAAAGGCUAACCAAAAGUGGAGAAUCAAGCUGCAGAAAAUAUGAAGACUUCUGGGGUCUCUGAGGUACUUUUUAUAUGUUUGCAAAACAAAAACCAGGAUCUCCGGCUACGUCUACACUUAAGAGAACCCAGUGUUUUUCCAUUCCAAUGGAAAAGGAGCCAUCCCACCACAUCUCUGGAAUGUCAGUGAGAUGCCAGCCCUGCAGGCACCUGCACUCCUGUCUCAGUCCUUUUGUUCCCCAUCCUGUGUGAGUUUGCACUGAGGCUUUUUGGCUGAUCAGUCUAUCUUUACCUGGCAGAGUGCUACUUCAAUUCAAGUUUAUUUCAAGUUCUUUAGGUACAAUUUUUGCCUUGAUCAAUGGAAGAAAAUAAAAACUGAAGAGGAACAAAAGAACCCUCUGCUGAUUUCCAUUUCAAUAUAAAAGCAUUUAGCAGCUAAAUAAUCAUUUAUUCCAUCUUGAGACUGCUGUGAGCACUCGCUGGUGUACACAAUUUCUUCCUUAAAGUCUGUGGAAAUGUUGAACUAUGUGUCCUAAUAUAGUUUCUUAUAUUUUAGUGAAAAGGCAGCUGUAGAUGUCAUCAUGACUAUGGACUUUUAUAGUGCUGUAAAAAUUCAGUGUCAUCAUAAAUUCAUGCCGCUGAAAAUGUCGACAUUUAUGGCAACUUCUACAAGGGCAUAUUUUAGAAUUAUAUUAAAACUUUAUGCAACAACUUUUAUUUAGUUAAAAAAGUGAGAUUAUAAAGCAAAAUAUUUGCUCUCAUUUUAGAACAAAGAGGCGUGACAAAUAGUUUAUUAAAAAGGGAGGAAAAUGAAAAGGGUUUGUAAAGCAGAUCAGUCAGACUCUCAAAAAACAAGACUGGAAUCCUGUUUAUCUGAAACCACAUAAUUGAGGGAACAAAUAAUAUUCACAUAUAUUGUCCUUAGCAUAGAUUGCUUAUCAUGUAUCAAAUAUAGAGAGAAUAUGAAGUAGAACACUACUUUGAGGGCUAAGCAUCUCUUAUGUGAUCAGCAGUGAAAAAUACUUAGUUUUACCUGUUUUUAGGACUUCUGAAGUAAGUGAGCUUAAUUGCUCCUUGUAAGCUUACGAAAUAAUGAAAAUCUGAGUUCCUAAAUCUGCUAAAAUUUGAGCUGUGAUGCUGCAGUCCUUUGGGAAUCUCACUGAAUGGAACUCCAUGGAUCCCAGAUUAGGAUAAGCCUGCACACUGAAACUUCCCAUCCAGGGACAGUUGCUUAAGAAACUUCUGAUCCAGAUCUCUUAUACCCAGUUAAACCAUUGAUUUCAGACGAGUUAUUUCACAGAAACUAGCCAAAAGAAAAUGUAACAAAAGUGGAGGAAGGUAAACUGCUUUUUGAGUUUGUUUUUUUUUUUUUUUUUUCCCCUGAUUGAAGGUAUUCAGGAAGUAUCAACUAACUUUUCCUGAGUUUCCAUCAACUUUCAUUGAAGCAGCUUCAGAGGCUGUUGUACCUCAGAGAACGAAAUAUAUUGAGUAUUCCCUCAAAACAGUGACAUUUAUGUUUCAGCAGAGCUUUAGGGACUGAGUUUAGGGACUGAGCAUAUUCCUACUGAAAUCUGUGAGAUAGCCCUAUUAAUUUCCUUGCAGCCAUAGCUGCCACUAAUGCUGCAAAGAACUGACUCAAAGCCUUGAACUUUUAUGCUAAUGCAUAAAGAAGGUGUGGGAUGAAUUUUAUGACCCCUAUGCUCAGGUUUGCCUAAAUAUUAUAUAUAGGGACAGUCUUUCUCUAAGUUUAAUGGCAGUUUUACUUAUGCAUUUCUACAAUUUUCCAUGCACACUUCUUCAGCAUGUUUGGUUCUGUUCUCAGACUAAUGAAAAACAGCCCCAAAAUAGGAGUCUCUCUGGAAGAACAGCUAAAUAGUUGCAGCAAAAGAGCAUAAAAGAGAUGACAAAUAUAUAUCAAAUAGUCUUCUUUCUCUGGGAGUUAUCC